rnacentral:tRNA from 1 species
UCCCAUGUGGUCUAGAGGUUAUGAUGUCUGGUUUUCAUGAAGCUCGAAGCAAAAAUCCCAGAAGAUCACGAGUUCGAAUCUCGUCAUGGGAA